rnacentral:rRNA from 1 species
UACGUAGGGUGCGAGCGUUGUCCGGAAUUAUUGGGCGUAAAGAGCUCGUAGGCGGUGUGUCACGUCGUUCGUGAAAACCUGCAGCUUAACUGUGGGCGUGCGGUCGAUACGGGCAUCGCUGGAGUUCGGCAGGGGAGACUGGAAUUCCUGGUGUAGCGGUGAAAUGCGCAGAUAUCAGGAAGAGCACCCGUGGCUAAGGCGGUUCUCUAGUACGGUACUGACGCUGAGACGCGAAAGCGUGGGGAGCGAACAGG